UCCUACGGGGGGCAGCAGUGAGGAAUAUUGGUCAAUGGUCGGGAGACUGAACCAGCCAAGCCGCGUGAGGGAUGAAGGUACAGAGUAUCGUAAACCUCUUUUGUCAGGGAACAAAGGCGGGGACGUGUCCCCGGAUGAGUGUACCCGAAGAAAAAGCAUCGGCUAACUCCGUGCCAGCAGCCGCGGUAAUACGGAGGAUGCGAGCGUUAUCCGGAUUUAUUGGGUUUAAAGGGUGCGCAGGCGGUCUGUUAAGUCAGCGGUCAAAGCCCGGGGCUCAACCCCGGCCCGCCGUUGAAACUGGCAGG
rnacentral:rRNA from 1 species